UGCAGCUAGGGUGAGAAUUUAA
rnacentral:misc_RNA from 1 species